GUCCCUGACCGGCUCUGAGCCCCGUGUAUGGACGACCUGGAGGGAGGACAGACCUGGAGGGAGGCAGUACCCGGCGCAGUGUAGGACUCGCAGCUCACAGUUUUCCAGAAUCCAGGGCCUCGUCGGCCUAGGACUGCACGAUGCUGGAUAUUUUCAUCCUGAUGUUCUUCGCCAUCAUAGGCCUGGUCAUUCUGUCCUACAUUAUCUACCUGCUCUAGUGGCCCGGAGCCGCGGCCAGGAGCCGCAGACAGCUCGGAGGGGAAGGAUGAAGCCGAAGGGCCGAGCAUCCUGCUUGCUGACGCACCGGUGGAGUUUUGCUUCUGGUCAUUAUUUCGGCUCCUGGUCACCAGUCCAACAAGAGGCCUCUUAUCAACAGCAGCUGCCCAACAGACCUCUUCCAGAGCCUUCCAGACAUGGUUAACCCCUGGCAAGCAAGGGGCUUUUUGAACUCAGAGGCAAAAGCACUUGGCUGGGACACUGGGAAUUCAUGGACGUGAUUGGCACGCUGCAUGCGUUUGAGCUGUAGAUAGUGUUGAGAACACAGAAAGCUGAAAUGUAGACUCAUUAAAGUUACCAUGGAGAACCGCUCAAAAAUUCAUUUUGGUAGCCUUUCCUUAGGUCUAAAUGCAACUACAUAGUACGCUCAUAUAUGUUCCUUCCUUUCCCUGUCACAUGCAGGGGUUCCCCUGUUAAGUUUAAGAACAAGUUCAAGUUGUCUGUCUUCAUCUGUGAAGUAGUCACUUUAUUACUGUCUUUAUAGAUUACACAAUCUGAGGUUGUGUGGUUUUCCUUGUCUCACUCUCCAGCCAGGAGGAUCUUGUCAUUUGAGUUUUUAAGAUUUAUCGUUUCUUCCCCACCUCAAACCACUUGUGCCCCAGCUUCUCGUUUAAAGAGAGAAAUGCACAUAGUCCUUAUUCUUUGCACCUGACUGAAUUAUCAAUUAUUGAAACAAGAUGGUUAUGCUUAUCUUAUUUAGGAAAAACGUCUUACCCCAAAAUUUUAUUGUCAAAUGUUCCU